UACGUAGGGUCCGAGCGUUGUCCGGAAUUACUGGGCGUAAAGAGCUCGUAGGUGGUUUGUCGCGUUGUUCGUGAAAACUCACAGCUUAACUGUGGGCGUGCGGGCGGAUACGGGCAGACUUGAGUACUGCAGGGGAGACUGGAAUUCCUGGUGUAGCGGUGGAAUGCGCAGAUAUCAGGGAGGAACACCGGGUGGCGAAGGCGGGUCUCUGGGCAGUAACUGACGCUGGAGGAGCGAAA
rnacentral:rRNA from 1 species